AUCGCGGAGGGGACCCGAGUGCCGUCCCGCCUCCCCCCUGCGGCAAGCUCUCCGCCCCCGACCCCGAGGCAUCCCAGCUCGUCGGGCUCCUAACUGGUCCGAAGGGACUCGGUGACCGUGGGAACCGCAGGGGAGGGAGCAGGUGUAGACCCGGCGUAAUGAAGGCCGAGGGCGCUGGGCGGACGCCGGUGGGUCCGGGAGCGAGUGUGUCCGUCGGGACGUCCCGAAAGGCUGAGCAGAACGUGUCCCAGGAGGUGGGACCAGGCUCCAGAAGGACACGGGCGACCCCGGGACAGGGGUGCUGGGGCCAUUUCAUAGAGCGCAGAGCAAAACGGAGAGCAGCGGGCGAAAUCCGCGUCUCUGUCUUCUAGAAAAUACCCCGCGCCUUAGAGAGGCCCCCUUCCUUCCCAGGGUAUCGUUCUGGGACUUCUGGGGCUAGGUCAAAGGAACUUCACACCUUCCACCCAGGACUCUUGGAGUACUCCCUCUGGAGGCUGCCAGGGAUCCCUGGGUGGCGCAGCGGUUUGGCGCCUGCCUUUGGCCCAGGGUGCGAUCUUGGAGACCCGGGAUCGAAUCCCACGUCAGGCUCCAGGUGCAUGGAGCCUGCUUCUCCCUCUGCCUGUGUCUCUGCCUCUCUCUCUCUCUCUCUGUGUGUGACUAUCAUAAAUAAAUAAAAAUAAAUAAAAAAUAAAAUAAAAAAAUCUUUUAAAUCACUUCCUAACACAUUGACUUGUGCAAUAGUUCCUUGUAGUGGACUUGCUCAUCCUGGGAGGUAGAUUAGCUGAAACAGAUGCCAAUCCACGUGGCUAGCUUCUCUGCCUAGACAAGGAGCUUCAUAUCUAUGGGACUGAUUACACUCUCUCAUCAUUCACCCAACAAAUAUUCAUUCAUUGAUAUCAAAUUAAUCAAUAUUGAAGCCAACCUCUGGGAUGUACGCCAUGAAGUCAGGUUUCCCUGAUUGCUGUACGGCCCCAGGGUUACGGUCACCAAAUACAGGGAGACACUGGUGUCUUCCCGAGUCAGCACUCCUUCCCACC